AAAACCUAGUCUCAGUUCGGAUCGGAGUCUGNAACCCGACUCCGUGAAGCUGGAUUCGCUAGUAAUCGCGCAUCAGCCAUGGCGCGGUGAAUACGUUCCCGGGCCUUGUACACACCGCCCGUCAAGCCAUGGGAGCCGGGAGUGCCUGAAGUCCGUGACCGCGAGGAGCGGCCUAGGGUAAGACCGGUGACUGGGGCUAAGUCGUAACAAGGUAUC
rnacentral:rRNA from 1 species